rnacentral:miRNA from 10 species
CAGGAUGCCUAGUUAACUUUGAAUUUCAAAUAAAUAACAAAUAAUAUUUUAGUAUGAUUAUAUCUCAUGCAAUAUUUGGGACAUACUUACGCUAAAAUAUUAUUUGUAGUUUAUCAAAAUUCAAAUUUAACAGUGAGCACUAUA